ensembl:lncRNA
UUUAGAGAGAAAACGAGGGCGGAAAGGGGGACUGAGAGGGAGAGAGGCGAGGGGGAGGCGAGAGAACAGGGGUGCGAGUUGGCGCGGGCGGCCUGGGGAUGGAGGAGCCUUUGGGCUGAAUUGCCUGUUUGAUCUCGUCCGCGCUGCGCAGGGGUAGGCCGCUGGAAAGACUGGGUGGCCUGGACAACAGGGUCCGAGGGGAAGAAGGUGUAUUUCUGUUGCUGGACAUGAUGGCCACACAAUCUUGCUUCCCACUUUCCUGUCUACAGGCUCAGUAGAUCCAGAUCGUGUGAGUCUCUUUUAUUCCCGUUUUGCACGUGAGGCCACGGAGGCCGGGAUAGACCAGGAUCGCACACGUCUUGGGGGCCUACUCCGGACUCAAACCUACGUCUCUGUGACUCCAAAACUCAUAUUAUACUAUGACCUAGUAUUUGCUGGUGUAAGACGAAUGGUUCCGCUUUAGCGCAGAUGCAAGCGCCACCUUAUUUGGAGGACAGGCAGGUAGAUCUGCAGCUGUAAAACCCGAGGCCCCGAGGCGGGCUUGCACAGCUCCCCCGGCUCUCCGUCCACGUCCACGUCUCUGCUGUCCGCUGCUCCUAGAGCACCUUUCGACUCUUGGAAACAGGUAAAGAGAAAUCUGCCCUCCGGCAUCUUCACCUCCAACUACGUUUGUUGUUUCCAGCUGCUAAAAAUUGGUACUUUUAGAAGUCAAUCGUCCUGCCAGUUACCAAGGGUCGGGGCUCCGGUGAGUGCUGAUUUGGAGACGGUUGGAAGCAUCGUGGCCAAGCCUCCUCCCUGGCACCUGGCGAUUCUGUCCUUCAAGUCCCUGGGUGUGUGCCCUCAGCAAAUACUAACCCACAGAGUGUGUUGCCAACUCCAGUCAUCUGUGCAUUUGCCCUCUGGGGAUGGAAAGCUGGAGGAAAUGCCAUUUCCUAAUCUCCUUGGGGCUUGGACCGCAAGAUAUUUUUGCCCGGUGGGGUGGGUGGAAGCCUUCAGAGAGUAAAUGUGUCUUUAGGGCCUGCGGUGCCCUCAGGAUCCUUUAAGGGACAUGGCUGCCGAGAAAAACCCACAGAUGGUUCUGGCUUUGUCUUUACCUCAUUAAGCCCUUUGGGUUGCAGGAGUUCCCCUCGUGGCUCAGCGGAAAAGAAUCUGACUAGCAUCUAUGAGGAUGCAGGUUCGAUUCCUGGCCUCGCUCAGUGGGUUAAGGAUCUAGUGUUGCCAUGAGCUAUGGUGUAGGUGGCAGAUGCGACUCAGGUGCUGAGUUGCUGUGGCUGUGCUGUAGGCUAGUGGCUAUAGCUCUAAUUCGACCCCUAGCCUGGAAUCUCCAUAUGCCGAAGGUGCGGCCCUAAAUAGACCAAAAAAAAAAAAAAAAAAAAAAGCCUUUUGGGCUGAAAGGAAUCAACUUGAGCUGGCUUAAGCAUUAAGCAGUGCCUCAUCAAGUCCAAGGACAGAUGGCUGCCAGACACCCAGGCAGGACCCUUUCUCCAGCUUUGUCUCUGCUUCCUCUCGCGCGCGCUCUCUCUCUCUCUCUCUCUCUCUCUCUCUCUCUCUCUCUCUCUCUCUCUCUCUCGCCCUCGCUCUUGCUCUGCAAUGGCCUUUCCUUUCUUCUCCGUGGGUGAUCCUGCUACAGUCACCACAUUUGCAUCUCCUCUCCUGAAGACACUAGCCAGGCCAUUGGCCGCCCUUGGUUGGUCCAAUACCACGUUCCCCGGGAAGGAGAAUGCAAUUGUCCCAGCCUGGGGCAGGUACACAACUUGAUCUAAGCAGGGUGACCACAGGCAGGGUGCCCUGAGACAGCCAGAGGGGCAGUUCUCCCGGAGGGAGAGUCCAGGGGGAUGGGCAGACAUUUCUAGAGAGUGACUAUUACGGGCUUCGAUUAAAUUAGUUGUUGAUAGAAAAAAGUGGUAUGGUACAGGUGGGAGUCUGGGACAGUUCAGACACUCUGGAGACUUAAUUUGCCUAAAUCAUUGUUGUUGUUUUUUUUAAUCUUUUUUUUAGGGCCG